rnacentral:rRNA from 1 species
UACGUAGGGUGCAAGCGUUUGUCCGGAAUUAUUGGGCGUAAAGAGCUCGUAGGCGGUCUGUCGCGUCGGCUGUGAAAACCCGGAGGCUCAACCUCGGGCCUGCAGUCGGAUACGGGCAAACUAGAGUACGUGCAGGGGAGACUGGAAUUCCUGGUGAUAGCGGUGAAAUGCGCAGAUAUCAGGAGGAACACCAGUGGCGAAGGCGGUCUAUCUGGAACGGUUUCGUGACGCUAAGACGCGAAAGCGUCGGGGAGCAAACAGG